GGCCCCUUUCAAGGAGCAAGCUAGAGUGGAAGGCCUUCCCGUGCCUUGGAUCUCAGGUAACCUGGCGGCCUGUUCCCACACUCAAGUCAUCUGGAUGGCUGAGGCUGAAGGGGAAUUCUAAUUUUGAAGUAAAGAAAUCUGAAGAAAGAGAAUUUUAUCAGAAUAGGACAGCAACUUCCAGGCUUCUGGGACUAAGAAAAUGAAGGAAAGAGGAUUCGAAUCUGAAGUCUCCUAUCCCAUUAUUCUACAAGGAGUGUUGGUGAUUGCACUGAAAUGCCAUUUUUAAGAAAGAAAGGCUUCUGGACUGAAAACUGGGGCAAUGUAGGAACUGGAACCACAUAAUGGCUGCUGGUCAGUGCAUCCAUCCAAAUGGAACAAAGUACAAAAGCCACCCUGUCCCCAAAAUAAGUAUUGGAAGUGCCAGAGACAUGAUAAGAAAAUAGCCCGUGCUCCACAAACUGCUAUUAGGACAGGACACGGAUGAUCCUCUCCCACAUUUUCUCCCAGGCUUGCAUGACAUGGUAAGGAACCUCCACUUGCCAUGCUUCCUCCUGCUAAAGAAAUGGAUGUUUCCCACCACUGACUAUGAGGUCUACCACUCCCCUCCAAUAGAGUGAGGCAGUCCACAGACCCUGGGCACCCACCUCCGAAGGCUCAACAUUCCUCAAUCAACCCUUUAGCAAUGCUAUUUCUUCAUUGGUAACUGGAUAGACAGGUGCAAAGGAAAAACAACCGUUUGUUCUAUGUUUUGUUCUGUCAGCAUUUAUACUUAAUUGUACCAGUCCAAACGGUUGUGACUUUUCGAAUGGACAAAGAAAAUUUAUUUCUCCUGCUAGUUUGAUUUUAACUGGGAAAAUAAAGAGCCCCAACAUAGCCUAAAACGAAAGAGUUCAGACUUAGAAAAGGGAAUAUACUGGCUCAGAAAAUGAGCUCUAUUACGUUCACAUGUUAUUUCUAAUAUACAUAAAUAUACUCUGAAGAAAAAAACAGGACACUUCAAUCGAUAAAUGAAUAAGCAAAUUGUGGAACAGCCAUACAGUGGAGUAUUACACAGCCAUAAAAAAUAACUAAGUACCGGUUCAUGCUACAACAUGGAUGAAUCUGGGAAACAUUAUGCUAAGGGAAGAACCCAGACACAAAAGGCCACACUGUAGAAUUGCAUUUAUAUGAAAUAUUCUGAAUAGGCGAACAUACAGAGACAAAAAGCAUAUUGGUGGU